rnacentral:tRNA from 3 species
CGGGGUGUAGUUCAGUUGGUAGAACGCUCAGUUUGGGACUGAGAGGUCGUCAGUUCGAAUCUGGCCACCCCGACAA